rnacentral:rRNA from 1 species
UAGGGAAUCUUCCGCAAUGGGCGAAAGCCUGACGGAGCAACGCCGCGUGAGUGAUGAAGGUCUUAGGAUCGUAAAACUCUGUUAUUAGGGAAGAACAAACGUGUAAGUAACUGUGCACGUCUUGACGGUACCUAAUCAGAAAGCCACGGCUAACUACGUGCCAGCAGCCGCGGUAAUACGUAGGUGGCAAGCGUUAUCCGGAAUUAUUGGGCGUAAAGCGCGCGUAGGCGGUUUUUUAAGUCUGAUGUGAAAGCCCACGGCUCAACCGUGGAGGGUCAUUGGAAACUGGAAAACUUGAGUGCAGAAGAGGAAAGUGGAAUUCCAUGUGUAGCGGUGAAAUGCGCAGAGAUAUGGAGGAACACCAGUGGCGAAGGCGACUUUCUGGUCUGUAACUGACGCUGAUGUGCGAAAGCGUGGGGAUCAAACG